rnacentral:rRNA from 1 species
AUUGAACGCUGGCGGCAUGCCUUACACAUGCAAGUCGAACGGCAGCACGGGAGCUUGCUCCUGGUGGCGAGUGGCGAACGGGUGAGUAAUGCAUCGGAACGUGCCCUGAAGUGGGGGAUAACGUAGCGAAAGUUACGCUAAUACCGCAUAUUCUGUGAGCAGGAAAGCAGGGGAUCUUCGGACCUUGCGCUUUUGGAGCGGCCGAUGUCGGAUUAGCUAGUUGGUGGGGUAAGGCCCACCAAGGCGACGAUCCGUAGCGGGUCUGAGAGGAUGAUCCGCCACACUGGAACUGAGACACGGUCCAGACUCCUACGGGAGGCAGCAGUGGGGGAAUUUUUGGACAAUGGGCGCAAGCCUGAUCCAGCCAUGCCGCGUGAGUGAAGAAGGCCU